rnacentral:rRNA from 1 species
AUACCUGAUAGUAUGGUGAGAUUGCAUGAUAGCACCAUUAAAGAUUUAUUGGUAAACGAUGGGGAUGCGUUCCAUUAGGUAGUAGGCGGGGUAACGGCCCACCUAGCCGACGAUGGAUAGGGGUUCUGAGAGGAAGGUCCCCCACAUUGGAACUGAGACACGGUCCAAACUCCUACGGGAGGCAGCAGUGAGGAAUAUUGGUCAUUGGGCGAGAGCCUGAACCAGCCAAGUAGCGUGAAGGAUGAAGGUCCUACGGAUUGUAAACUUCUUUUAUACGGGAAUAAAGUAUCCUACGUGUAGGAUUUUGUAUGUACCGUAUGAAUAAGCAUCGGCUAACUCCGUGCCAGCAGCCGCGGUAAUACGGAGGAUGCGAGCGUUAUCCGGAUUUAUUGGGUUUAAAGGGAGCGCAGACGGGAGAUUAAGUCAGUUGUGAAAGUUUGCGGCUCAACCGUAAAAUUGCAGUUGAUACUGGUUUCCUUGAGUGCAGUUGAGGCAGGCGGAAUUCGUGGUGUAGCGGUGAAAUGCUUAGAUAUCACGAAGAACUCCGAUUGCGAAGGCAGCACACUAAUCCGUAACUGACGUUCAUGCUCGAAAGUGUGGGUAUCAAACAGGAUUAGAUACCCU